UACGUAGGGGGGCAAGCGUUGUCCGGAAUCAUUGGGCGUAAAGCGCGCGUAGGCGGCCCGGUAAGUCCGUUGUGAAAGUCAAAGGCUCAACCUUUGAACGCCGAUGGAUACUGCCGGGCUAGAGUUCCGGAAGAGGCGAGUGGAAUUCCUGGUGUAGCGGUGGAAUGCGCAGAUAUCAGGAGGAACACCAGUGGCGAAGGCGACUACCUGGCCUGUUCUUGACGCUGAGGCGCGAAAGCUAGGGGAGCAAACGGG
rnacentral:rRNA from 1 species